rnacentral:rRNA from 1 species
GAUGAACGCUGGCGGCGUGCCUAAUACAUGCAGGUCGAGCGAACGGACGAGAAGCUUGCUUCUCUGAUGUUAGCGGCGGACGGGUGAGUAACACGUGGAUAACCUACCUAUAAGACUGGGAUAACUUCGGGAAACCGGAGCUAAUACCGGAUAAUAUUUUGAACCGCAUGGUUCAAAAGUGAAAGACGGUCUUGCUGUCACUUAUAGAUGGAUCCGCGCUGCAUUAGCUAGUUGGUAAGGUAACGGCUUACCAAGGCAACGAUGCAUAGCCGACCUGAGAGGGUGAUAGGCCACACGGGAACUGAGACACGGUCCAGACUCCUACGGGAGGCAGCAGUAGGGAACCUUCCGCAAUGGGCGAAAGCCUGACGGAGCAACGCCGCGUGAGUGAUGAAGGUCUUCGGAGCGUAAAACUCUGUUAUUAGGGAAGAACAUAUGUGUAAGUAACUGUGCACAUCUUGACGGUACCUAAUCAGAAAGCCACGGCUAACUACGUG